rnacentral:rRNA from 1 species
GACGGAGGAUGCAAGCGUUAUCCGGAAUGAUUGGGCGUAAAGCGUCCGCAGGUGGACAUACAAGUCUGCUGUCAAAGUGCAGAGCUUAACUCUGUAAAGGCGGUGGAAACUGUAGGUCUUGAGUAUGGUAGGGGUAGAGGGAAUUCCCGGUGUAGCGGUGAAAUGCGUAGAUAUCGGGAAGAACACCAGUGGCGAAAGCGCUCUACUGGGCCAUAACUGACACUGAGGGACGAAAGCUAGGGGAGCGAAAGGG